rnacentral:lncRNA from 1 species
CCCCCUGCCAGUCAGAAGGGCCCUUCGGUGGAGAGGUGCGUCUAGAACUACGGCGCGCGGCCAAUCCGACCGUUCCGUUCCGCCACCGCGUGCUGCCCCUCCAGCCCCGAACGCUGACAUUUAAAAGGGAAACUGCUCGGAGCCCGGCAACCAGCGGCUGCGCAUCCCCGCAGAUGCCGCCCAGACCGCGCGCGCGCCUACGCCUCCCGGCCCACGUGCCAGCUGGCGUGGCUUGGGAACGCUUCUCCCCUAGGCAGUUACGCCCAUCCCUAGGGACGAAACAGAACUUCAACUUCGGGUUCCCAGCCCUCAAACAGUUAAGUGACUUCCUGCAAACGCUACAGUCCCAGCAACCAGGCUUCCAAUCAAAAGCCACGUUGUCCAAGGACAGACUCGGAUGAGACAGCAUCAAUUCGUUCUUGUUUGGAAUGCAGCACUUAGAUGUUUAAAAGUUCUUUCACCCCACACAUUAACCAAGAGAAAUUCAUCUAAAAAAUUUCACAGCUAGCAAAAGAUCCGGUUCCGUAUUAAAUGGUUCUUACACAAAAGCACCGCCAUCUUGGUAUUUUGCUAAACCUCCUACUUCCUUGGGCGCCUUUGACUCUAAAUUCGCUCUGUCUUGAAGCUAUCUUAACCCAUAAACAGAGACCAAUAAGACAUUGCAUUUGCAUAACUUUAAAAAAUCCUUUUCUUUUUAGGGACUCCUCCCUGUUCCUGCUGGGCAAGCCUUUCCUUCCUCUUGCUUCACAAUUGUGGAGAACAAGACUGGUCUACCUUAUCAGGAUAAAGUCUGUCCCUAGGAAUUUGCACCUCUGCCUGCCUCCCUAGGGCACAGCAUAGAUGGGAUCAGUUGAAGAGCCCCAUGGUCAAAGGCCUACACAGCCUCCCACACUUGUAUUUCCACUGGUAUUAGUUACACUCAUGAAGUCUCCUCAGGCCUAGGCCUGAAUGGCUACCAAAGAUUAAGGGCAGGUUAUUCUCUGAGAAGGAGCCUCUAUCUUCCCUUAAAGAUUAUGACUCUGAAUUUGAAUACACUAACCUCAGGGUUUUUUAAAUGCAAACUUUAAGUUCCCUUACAUCUUGCUGCCUUCUUUCUAGUGCCCUUUAGCUUCACAGGAUCCCGACCACACUCUCUCAAUACUCCCAAUUCAGUUAUAAAGAACACCAAGAAAGCAGAUCUCAUCCACGUGAAUUUCUCUUACGGAUCUGCAAGCAUAGUUGUUGUAGAAAGUCCCUUCAAAAUCGGCAAUUCUGCCAUUGUACCCCGUACUCCCCUUCUCCGACCAUUCAUUCUUGGUAAUGAACUAAGUGUGAGGGGAUACUGAAACACAAAGGGAGUCUGUCCUCUAUAGGAUGAUAGCUACAUGCACAUGUUACGAAUCAAACGUGUGUUUGAUAGAUAGCACAGAGCACCAGAAGUGGUAUUUCCCACAUCAUGAUUUUUUUCCUUGUAUUUUUAAACAAUAUUUUCUAUCUGUAUUGAAAUGUACUAUAAUAGUUUUAUGAUUAAAACCAGCUAAUGCUAUUUAGCCAGCAUGUUGUUGUCUCAAUUAAAUUUUGGGCAAAAUAUCCUGUUAAUAUUAUGGCACAUAAAUCUAAGAGGUCCGCUUUCCCAAGUUAGUCUUCAUUCAUUUCUACUCCAAAUACUCCCACCCAGGGGAACAAGAGAACCCAAAGAUUGUAACUGUUUCUAGUACAUGUUAUUUUCCUUUGCACAGUCUCCCUACCCUAUGCUGUAUCUUCCAAGUUCCCAUGGCUAUGGCUUAUUAGCCUGUAGCCAGAACAGUGAGCCUUGUUUACAAGGCUUCCUAGUAGAAUUAAUGUGAAG